CACUCUCCUCUAGCGGCCGCCUGUCCUUUUUAAGGAACUCCACCCUAGGUGGAGUCCUCACGAUAGUCACACCUCUCCUUUGGGCCUAGCAGGGCCAGAGAAAGACGGAAUCACUCUACCCACUCAGGUUGCCCAGAGAGCACUUUAGGUUCUGACUCGCGUGGGGCGCGAGGUACCCCGUGGGGCAGCUAGGUGCCUCCAAGAAACCCCGCCCGAGAGGACCCGCACGAGUUGCUGCCAUUUUUCGCUGAAGCCCCUGCCCUGGGGCUGGUGUUCUUCUCUAUGAUUCUACCAAUCGUCGGCAUUUUUUUCCUCCCUUCUUUCUUUUUAGGAAGGCGCUGGGGUGUGCGGCGGCAACGGCGGCGGUGAAGGGAUCCUCUUGUGGUAUCUCCUCGUGGGUUCCUGUCUUGAAGGAUUUCUUCUCCGCCUCAACUUUGUGUUCAAGUAGCGCUUUGGGGGUUGGGUUGGUUUUCAUAGCCCCCACCCCCGGCCCUCUCCUUUUAAAGGGUGUGUGGAGUUCAGAGGAUGGGUGGAGAGCGGGCUUGGCCGGAACUGAAUUGGUGGAGGUAAAAGGGGAACGGAGGACCUUAAGCUCUGGCCACUUCGGCCCAGCGAACCCACUUUAUUUUUGUCCAAGGAAAAGCUGCAGGGGGGAGGAUUCUUUUUAGGAAGUCUACUCUGCCGGCCCCUGAUUUUUGGGUUGGAUGCUUGAGAGCUUUGUUUCCCUUGUUCUGAGAGUGGCCCAGCUGGGUCUGAAUCGACUCCCUCCCCUUUCGACCCCCUCCUCAUUUUCCAGCCCGGAGAAAUAGGGGAGUGGGGGCCCAAGAACGAGAAGACGAGAACGCGUCGCCCUGCGCUAUGUCAGAAUGGGGCGGGUGUGAGGGGAACAGCUCUCUUGCGAUCGGCUCAGGGGUAUGAGCCUUCCGGAGGACGGCAUGAGUUCUGGACACUUCAGGAGUCCUCAGCUAGUGACAUGGUCGAUAUGGAUAAACUCAUAAACAACUUGGAGGUCCAACUUAAUUCAGAAGGUGGCUCAAUGCAGGUAUUCAAGCAGGUCACUGCUUCUGUUCGGAACAAAGAUCCCCCUGAGAUAGAAUACAGAAGUAAUAUGACUUCUUCAACACUCCUGGAUGCCAACCCCAUGGAGAACCCAGCACUGUUUAAUGACAUCAAGAUUGAGCCCCCAGAAGAACUUUUGGCUAGUGAUUUCAGCCUGCCCCAAGUGGAACCAGUUGACCUCUCCUUUCACAAGCCCAAGGCUCCUCUCCAGCCUGCUAGCAUGCUACAAGCUCCAAUACGUCCCCCCAAGCCACAGUCUUCUCCCCAGACCCUUGUGGUGUCCACGUCAACAUCUGACAUGAGCACUUCAGCAAACAUUCCUACUGUUCUGACCCCAGGCUCUGUCCUGACCUCCUCUCAGAGCACUGGUAGCCAGCAGAUCUUACAUGUCAUUCACACUAUCCCCUCAGUCAGUCUGCCAAAUAAGAUGGGUGGCCUGAAGACCAUCCCAGUGGUGGUGCAGUCUCUGCCCAUGGUGUAUACUACUUUGCCUGCAGAUGGGGGCCCUGCAGCCAUUACAGUCCCACUCAUUGGAGGAGAUGGUAAAAAUGCUGGAUCAGUGAAAGUUGACCCCACCUCCAUGUCUCCACUGGAAAUUCCAAGUGACAGUGAGGAGAGUACAAUUGAGAGUGGAUCCUCAGCCUUGCAGAGUCUGCAGGGACUACAGCAAGAACCAGCAGCAAUGGCCCAAAUGCAGGGAGAAGAGUCGCUUGACUUGAAGAGAAGACGGAUUCACCAAUGUGACUUUGCAGGAUGCAGCAAAGUGUACACCAAAAGCUCUCACCUGAAAGCUCACCGCAGAAUCCAUACAGGAGAGAAGCCUUAUAAAUGCACCUGGGAUGGCUGCUCCUGGAAAUUUGCUCGCUCAGAUGAGCUCACUCGCCAUUUCCGCAAGCACACAGGCAUCAAGCCUUUUCGGUGCACAGACUGCAACCGCAGCUUUUCUCGUUCUGACCACCUGUCCCUGCAUCGCCGUCGCCAUGACACCAUGUGAGCCGCACAGGUCACACUAGAGAAGCUGCGCUGGUAUCUUUCCUGGUCGUGUGCUGAGGUUGGGACAAUUUUUUCCUCUUUGACUUCAGCUUGCAUAUGGGGUUGAAGCAGCCCACUGAGCCAAGUUGAGGAGACUGGAGGAAAAGAGAGCUGGUCUCCCGUGGGGCUCUUCAUAUUCUACCUUCACUUCUCCACUGUCCAGACCCAUUUUUUUCAACCUCCACAUGGGUUGAAUUCCAGUGUGGCACCCAUGGCUGCCUUCCCAUCCCCCCCUGCUCUGAAAUAGGACAUUUUUCCUACAGUAACAAAACAGGAAUCAAACUGAAGGCUGUGAACAAACAUACGCUGCUUUAUUCUUUCCAAUUUUUCUCUUGUUUUCUAGAACUCUUAUCCAUAUGUUUUUUAAAUAAGUACCUAAAAGUGGUUUGAUAGUGUCCUAAACGACUUUUUUAACUUCCUAAAUGGAAAGAGCAUAACAAUGUAGUUGAUUGGUAAGAUUUACAGGGAUUUGGUUUCUGAGUUUGAGGCACAUUCCCAGUGAAUAAGCUGAGUCCCAUACCACACUCAAAACGUUUUAAGAAAUCUAAUCCUAUUUCUUCUUAAAGUUUGGUUUUCAGACAGUGCUGGUGCUUCUGCUUCUUAAGUUCAUCAAGGGAAUGAGGAGUUCUUGUCCUUCUCCUCUUUUUUUUCUUUUCCACUUUCUCCUUCAGGAUUAAAGAUUUUGCUGCACAAUUAUUAUUUGUUAGGUUAAAUUUGGACAAAUAUUCAAAGCACACAUAGACAUAUAAGUAAGGAGAAAAAUGUUCCAGGAGAGUAGGUUGGGCAGUGACAGGAACAAACAGACCUAGGAUGAUCCUGAGAACAAAUAGAGGGGUUCCUUUACUUGGAUAGGAUAUCAAAAGUGCUGUUAAUCACAAACCUCAUUCAAAUGGCAGGCUGUCGAGACAGUGUCUUGAGGGGCUGGCUGUACUGUUUAUUUUUUCGUUUACACAAAGAAGCAAUUGAGUAUAUUGCAUGAUGAGAAAUCACACACUAGGGGCAUGUUAUACAGAAGUAAGGGGUUGGAAAAACGGAAUGUUGUUCACUUCAUGGAAUUAUUGGCAUUCAUUCCUGUGUUUCAAAUGAAACAUAGAUGCUUUUCAUGAAAACUGACCUACAAAAAGCAAUUUGAUGUUCUGCAACUGCUAUGAAAACCUAAGCCAUUUAUUUUAGCUGAUAGCAGAUUGCAUAAUAUACUCAUUUAGCUGCCCAAUCAGAUUGUUUUAUAAUAUUACCUGGGGUACAAAAUCCUCUGUUCCUGGCCCUGGACCACAGAUCUACCUCCACAUGGCAUAUUUCCUUUCUGGGGUCAGGGGUGGGGGAGGGGGCUUUGCAUCACUUGAAUUUAGACUCAGCCUCUCUUUUAAAGAUUGUCUUUAUAUUGAACACCUUUUUCUUUUCAACCCUGCUUGAAUACUUUAGGUUACUACUUCCUGAGGCUGUCCAUUCUCACUAUAUUGCAGAAUUCUAGCACCAAGAAGGGAUCCCGUUAACCAUCUAGUCCUAUCCAUCCCUCAUAUUUUACAGAUGAGACAAAUACGGGUCAGAUUUUUUCUCCAGAUGUUUCUUUGAGCCCUUGUACACCUGCACGCUUAUUCUCCUGGGGAUCACAUAAUUUUAUUUAUUUAUUUUUUGAGAGACGAGCGACACACUCGAUCUCAAAAAAAAAAAAAGAAAUUGUUUCAGCAUCUUGUUCAGGAUUCCACAUUACAUCUAGUAGUCAUAUCUCCUCAGGAUCCUUUUGAUUGUGACAGUUUCUCAGACUUUCCUUGUUUUCAGUGACCUUGACAGUUUUGAGAGAGAUUUUCCUCAACUGGGAUUUGUCAGUUGUCUUUCUCAUGAUUAGACUGAGGUUAUGAGUUUUUGAAAGUAGGACCACGGAGAAGAAGUGCCAUUUUCAUCGCAUCAUACAGGCAUACUUUGGAGACAAUGCAGAUUUGGUUCCAGAUCACUGCAAUGAAGCAAAUAUUACAAUAAAGCAAGUCACACAAAUUUUUUGGUUUCCCAGUGCAUAUAAAAUUUUAUGUUUACACUAUCCUGUAGUCUGGUAAACGUGCAAUAGCAUUAUGUCUAAAAAACAAUGUACAUACCUUAUUUUAAAAUACUUUAUUGCUAACAUGUUACUGGCACAAACACGAAGUGAGCACAUGCUGUUGGAAAAAUGGUGCCAAUAGACUUGUUGGUCACAGGGUUGCCACAAACUUUUAAUUUGUAAAAAAUGCAAUAUCAGCAAAGUGCAAUAAAGUGAAGCACAAUAAAACGAGGUAUGCCUGUAUUUACAUGACUCAUCACUGUUGUUUAACCUUGAUCACCUGGCUGAAAUAGUUGUUGUCAGGUUUCUCCCCUGUACUCUUUUUUCCUCCCCUCCAUACUGUACUCUCUGAAAGGAAAUCACUAUGUGCAGCCCAUGCUUCUGGAGUGGUAAGUUAUAUGCCACACCCUUCAGAGCACGUAUCUUACAUAAAUUAUUUGGAAUUAUUCUCUAAGGGAGAUUGUCUCUUCUCCCCCAUUUAUUUAUUUAUACAAUACUUUAUUUAUAUCAGCAUGGACUCAUGGGUAUUUAUUUUAUACUUCGAGUUAUAAUCUAAUACUACUACUUUAUUUUAUUGCUCGAAUUGUUCCAGCUUUGGCCAUUGGGAGCUCUUUUGGGUGAUUCUCAAGUUCUUUUGACACACCCCCAUCAUUUUUCUUUAGCACGUCCUUACUUUCUGCCACUGCAAGAUGUUCCAGGCUCAUCUUGUAUAUUUUGUGGCCUACUCCUAUAAUCAGCCAUUUCUUCAAGAAGUCCUGGUUUCUUUUACUGGAAAAUUGUAUUAGAAACCAAUAUCUGGGCAUUAGGUAUGUUCAUUGUUACUGGGCUAUUGUUGCUUCUAGGGCGUCUCAGCUAACAGCAAGGAAACAUAUGUGUGUAUACUAUCCUAUGUAUAUGCACAUUCUAUAAAUAUUUCUAUAUGUAAUCACGCAGAUUUUUAUUUAGCUAAACAUGAGUUCAUAUUGAUGUUUUCAACUCUAACCUGUUACCACGUGAAUCAUUCUAGCUUCUUCCUGUUAGUUACAUGAAGCCUCCCAUGCUAAUACUGAGAAACCUGGCUCUCAACCUCUGUCAUCUAUUUACUUAAUUUUUCAAAUUCAGUGUGCACAUAUAGCAGUAUCUGAAUUGUUAACCUGUAUACCCAUGGGAAACAACUUUAUCAACUACAGCACAGUGUGUAUGUACAUAAAAAUAGUAAAAUUUUUAGAACUCCAACAGCUCUUUGAAACAAAGUGGUCUGCAAAAUUCUGGAAUUAGGGAUUUCUGUGAUCUGAGUUCCAAGAUUCUGGGGUCUAUCCUGCCCCCAAAAAGUUUUCUCAUGAACCAAACCAUCAAGAAUGUACCUAACCUUAAAUAAGCCAAGGGAACUUACUGAUGCUCCACAGUUUGCUAAUUCUUGUAUGAGGUACUGUAGAGGGAUGGAUACAGAAGGAACUGGGUGGGCCAAAUUUAAAUAAACACAUAGCACUAUCUUUUCUCACUGUUAAAUAUGGCUCUCUGACAACAGUGAUGCUACCCUGAGUUACCUCUCUUCUGUAUUUUCCCAGGUCUCACUUGGUUGACCUUAGGCAAGUCAUAUCACCUCUCUGUGCCUCAAUUAAUCCAUUUGCAAAAUGGGGAUCUCAAUAUCUACCUCACAGGAAUGUUGUGAGGCUUCUCAUAAAUUGAUUUUGGCAAAAAUGAUGAAAGAUCUUUAAGUGAACAACCAAGUAUUAUAACCAUUGUUAUAAUGAUAGUUAUAGUACCUUAUAUUUACCCUAUGUAAAAGAGAAGAUUAGGCUUCCUAGGUGAUAAACAGAUAAAUUUGAGUAAGAAGGAUAAUUAAAGAGUGGCCACUGGAAGCAAUAUUAUUUAUUCUCUUACUUUCACUUUCCCUAUAUCUUCUUUGUUACUAACAAUACGAUUAUCAUCUGUUUCCAUACUUGAAAUAUAUUAGGACCUAAAAGAAGAGGUAGGCAAAAUUCAUUGCUUCAGAAGCUGUAUUCUUCCCCCUUUGUAACUCUGCUUGGACCACAUUCCAUGUCACAUUCUUAGAAGCACAAAGGCAAUUUUCCAGAGCCCUUUAAGCUUUGGCCAGUUCAGUUUCACCACUUAUAUUUUCUCUUUCCCAACUUACUUUACUCUGAAUAGUAUAGGUAGGAGGAGGGAAGUUGGGUAGGGUGGUUGGGGGUGGGAGUGGGUUGGAAGAGGAUGGGAUUUAUACCAGUGGCAGGAUAUUUCUUUGUUUUCCAAACACUGGUUUUAAUUUCCAUUUCCUUUUCUGGUGUUGGGGUGGGGUCAGGGGAAGAGAUACUAUUUUGUUAACUGUUAAAAGCUCUCCUUCCUUUCCUAGAGUCGCUACAAGUAGCUGUGUUGGACAUUACUUUAUAACUAUGCUGUAUGCCGUGCUGUUUUCAUUGUAUCACAGAAUUAAAAGGGGAAGAGAGUUCCUAGUGGUGUCCAUCCCUGUUUUUUGACAGGCAGUCACACAGGUGAGCAGUGCCAGAAACUGGUUCUCUUUUUUGUGUUGGGGAAAGGAGCCUGCAGUGAAAGGAUCAGUUGGAUUUUUUGUCAUUGUUAGUUUGUUUAAAUAAAUUAUAAGACAGUAUAUUAAGCUUUAGUCUCUGUAACUCUUAUGUUUGUGCCCCAUUAUUUUAGUGCUUUAGAGCAACACCUUGUUUUUCCUCUAUUUUAUACUAGUUCUUGCUCCAGAGGCAUGGCUUUGAGGCUAGAAUCAUGAGCAAUCUCUCAUAAACAAGUCUGUUAUGCACCUGGAGAUACUCAAGAUUUGCCUCUGUUAGCAUGGCCACUUAGAGAUUACUCUGUUCUACUUCAGAGACCCUCCACUAUGGCAUCCAUGCAGGGUGUGUGCUUGGGGACUAAGCAAUCUUGUUCAGUUUAAUUAUUGUACUUUUUUAUUAAUAAAAAGAUCUUAAACUUC